ACAGCAGCCGCCGCGGGAAUACGUAGGGUGCGAGCGUUAAUCGGAAUUACUGGGCGUAAAGCGUGCGCAGGCGGUUCGUUAAGACAGAUGUGAAAUCCCCGGGCUUAACCUGGGAACUGCAUUUGUGACUGGCGAGCUAGAGUAUGGCAGAGGGGGGUAGAAUUCCACGUGUAGCAGUGAAAUGCGUAGAGAUGUGGAGGAAUACCGAUGGCGAAGGCAGCCCCCUGGGCCAAUACUGACGCUCAUGCACGAAAGCGUGGGGAGCAAACAGGAUUAGAUACCCUGUAGUCCCUGUCUCUUAUACA
rnacentral:rRNA from 1 species